UAUUGUGCAUUUGUACUAUUCUAACUUGCAUCAGUUAGGAUUACGAGGUUUAGGGAAAUUGAUAUCAAAGAGGUGCCAACUUUUGCAAAAGGAUCAGAUUUCUCAUUAUUCAUUGCACAUGCUGAGAUUAGUAUAAACCUUGUGAGUGUGCUAUUUCACUUUGUUCUCUAUGAUUGAUGAUAUGUUUAAACUUACAGAUUUUCCUCUGCUGAACUUGCUACGAGGACUGGUAUAAUCUAGGUGGUUUUCAGGUAGGAGGUGGGAUCAAUUCAGAUAAUUCUUUGCAAUACAUAGAAGAAGGGGCUACCCACGUCAUUGUCACUUUUUAUGUAUUUAAUAAUGGGCAAAACCUUGAAAGGCUUAAAGAUCUUGUUCGUGUUGUUGGAAAAGAAAGGCUUGUUUUAGACCUUAGCUAUAGAAAGAGGGAAGGUAAAUAUGCAAUUGUCACAUAUAGAUGGCAAAAGUUCAGUGACGUGUAUCUUGACAAGGAAAUAUUAGACUUCCUUGCCAAGUAUGCAGACGAGUUUCUGGUACAUGGUGUUGAUGUGGAAGGGAAAAAGUAAGUCAUUUUUAUUGCCAUACAUGUUUCUUUACACAAUACAUACGCUUACAUAAGUGCGGCAGAAAUAUAGAUAUUUAAAUAAAUGCUCAUGAAAACCAUUUCCUUGUGUGAGUCUUUUUUUAUAUUUUGUCUGUUUCUUUGUAUGGUCACACUCUUUUUGCUGUUAUCAAGAAAACAUAUUUUACCAAUAAAUUAGAAUAGUUGAGGAAAUUUGGUGGAUUCCCGAAUUAUAAAUUGCUACUGAUUUUACUACUGUUCAGAACAUAGUGUAUAUGUUCUUUGGUUUACCAAGAGUCGAAGUAGUUUAGAUUGAAAAGAUUUGGCUUAUUGCUGCUUUUUCCGUUAGUUUUAGGCAGUGUUUGGUGAGACUUCUUCUGAUAAUCAACUAGCAGAAGAACAUAUGUAUAGCUGGUUUGACUUUUGAAGAUGAUCCAGUCGAUAAAAGUGAAAAGCUGGAACAAGAUGGGAAACAAUGGGUUGAUAUGUGCUCUUCAAGGUGUUAUGUACCCAGAGUGCAUGAUAAUGUCCUGCUGCAAAAGUGGCUAUAUCACUAUCUUCUCUUUGAUUUUCCAACACCAGGAAUAUUAUCAUGAAACUCAUAAAGAAGUUAAACCUCAGGUUAUGAUUAUAUUCUUCUUUUGUGAUAUUGUUGCUUUGACCAUUCACCAUGACCAUGAAUGAUUGAUGUGCCUUCUGCUCUUCAUUUGGUUGGCUUCCUGAUUUUCUGCAGUUGGCUGCAACGCAUUUAGUUGACGCCCAUAUAUGCAGUGACGUUGCAAAGUAUGUUACUGCAUUUCUUCUUUUUUAUCAACCAUGAUACAUAUGGAGCUCCCACACAUAAAUGUCUUCUCUAAGAUUGAUUUGAUACAUAACUAUGGAAGCUAGGUAAUGGCUGCAGCUGUCUUCCCUUUUUUUUCUUUUUCCCUUUGCUUACACAUGACUUGCAAUGUAACUGUGUGGAAAGGUGAUAUGGGAUUAUGGGGUUUUGCUGCAUUUGGAAACGAGUUUGCUUGCAAUUUCAUGUCUUUGCUUUUGACACAGGUACUUGCAUGAACUUCUUACUCAAAGAGAUGAAUUUGACACCAUUGCUUUGUUGAUCCGGCAUCUACAUAUAAUUGUCAAAGACCAGACUUUGUACGUAUUGAAGUGGCUGAUUAUAUACAGAGUUUGGCUACCAACAUGAUUUUGAGUAAGACUAGUUUUUGCUUUGAAGCAAAGUUUGGUGUUGAACUUUUGUAGUUGGUUGCUAAUAUGUUUAUAGGCUAGCCUUUGUAGGUUUUGGGGUUUUAUUUUGUGAAUUAUGUAGAAUCAUGAAUGAAGAUGAGAAAAUUAAUGGAAAGCCCCAAUUUUUGAAUGA